rnacentral:rRNA from 1 species
GAUGAACGCUGGCGGCGUGCCUAAUACAUGCAAGUCGAGCGAACAGACGAGGAGCUUGCUCCUCUGACGUUAGCGGCGGACGGGUGAGUAACACGUGGAUAACCUACCUAUAAGACUGGGAUAACUUCGGGAAACCGGAGCUAAUACCGGAUAAUAUAUUGAACCGCAUGGUUCAAUAGUGAAAGACGGUUUUGCUGUCACUUAUAGAUGGAUCCGCGCCGCAUUAGCUAGUUGGUAAGGUAACGGCUUACCAAGGCGACGAUGCGUAGCCGACCUGAGAGGGUGAUCGGCCACACUGGAACUGAGACACGGUCCGGACUCCUACGGGAGGCAGCAGUAGGGAAUCUUCCGCAAUGGGCGAAAGCCUGACGGAGCAACGCCGCGUGAGUGAUGAAGGUCUUCGGAUCGUAAAACUCUGUUAUUAGGGAAGAACAAAUGUGUAAGUAACUAUGCACGUCUUGACGGUACCUUAUCAGAAAGCCACGGCUAACUACGUG